GUGGUAGAGCACGAGAGAGGUAGAGCACGAGAGAGGUAGAGCGGUAGAGCACGAGAGAGGUAGAGCACGAGAGAGGUAGAGAGGUAGAGCACGAGAGAGGUAGAGCGGUAGAGCACGAGAGAGGUAGAGCACGAGAGAGGUAGAGUGGUAGAGCGGUAGAGCACGAGAGAGGUAGAGCACGAGAGAGGUAGAGCGGUAGAGCACGAGAGAGGUAGAGCGGUAGAGCACGAGAGAGGUAGAGCGGUAGAGCACGAGAGAGGUAGAGCGGUAGAGCACGAGAGCGGUAGAGCGCGAGAGAGGUAGAGCGCGAGAGAGGUAGAGCGCGAGAGAGGUAGAGCGCGAGAGAGGUAGAGCGCGAGAGAGGUAGAGCGCGAGAGAGGUAGAGCGCGAGAGAGGUAGAGCGCGAGAGAGGUAGAGCGCGAGAGAGGUAGAGCGCGAGAGAGGUAGAGCGCGAGAGAGGUAGAGCACGAGAGAGGUAGAGCGCGAGAGAGGUAGAGCGGUAGAGCACGAGAGAGGUAGAGCGGUAGAGCACGAGAGAGGUAGAGCGGUAGAGCACGAGAGAGGUAGAGCACGAGAGAGGUAGAGCGGUAGAGCACGAGAGAGGUAGAGCGGUAGAGCACGAGAGCGGUAGAGCACGAGAGAGGUAGAGCGGUAGAGCACGAGAGCGGUAGAGCACGAGAGAGGUAGAGCGGUAGAGCACGAGAGCGGUAGAGCACGAGAGAGGUAGAGCGGUAGAGCGGUAGAGCGGUAGAGAGGUAGAGAGGUAGAGCACGAGAGAGGUAGAGCACGAGAGAGGUAGAGCACGAGAGAGGUAGAGCACGAGAGAGGUAGAGCACGAGAGAGGUAGAGCACGAGAGAGGUAGAGCACGAGAGAGGUAGAGCACGAGAGAGGUAGAGCACGAGAGAGGUAGAGCACGAGAGAGGUAGAGCACGAGAGAGGUAGAGCACGAGAGAGGUAGAGCACGAGAGAGGUAGAGCACGAGAGAGGUAGAGCACGAGAGAGGUAGAGCACGAGAGAGGUAGAGCGGUAGAGAGGUAGAGCGGUAGAGAGGUAGAGCGGUAGAGAGGUAGAGCGGUAGAGAGGUAGAGCGGUAGAGCACGAGAGAGGUAGAGCACGAGAGAGGUAGAGCACGAGAGAGGUAGAGCACGAGAGAGGUAGAGCACGAGAGAGGUAGAGCACGAGAGAGGUAGAGCACGAGAGAGGUAGAGCGGUAGAGCACGAGAGAGGUAGAGCGGUAGAGCACGAGAGAGGUAGAGCGGUAGAGCAUGAGAGAGGUAGAGCGGUAGAGCACGAGAGAGGUAGAGCGGUAGAGCACGAGAGAGGUAGAGCGGUAGAGCACGAGAGAGGUAGAGCGCGGGAGCGAGAGGGGUAGAGCGAGAGGUUGAGCGCGGGAGCGAGAGGUUGAGCGCAGGAGCGAGAGGAGUAGAGCGAGAGGGGUAGAUAAACAUGACAUUUUUUAUUUUACUGUUUUGACAUACGUGGCCCGAAAACACUUAAGCGGCCCGCCCAAGACUUUUCUAUGCAGAAAAAAACACUGGCUUCUCAAACUCCUAGAACAACGUGGGGGUGGGUUGGUGGCCCAGUUGAGUUCCAGGGCACAGAAGGAAAGGGGAGA